rnacentral:rRNA from 1 species
GACGAACCGAGCGAACGUUGUUCGGAAUCACUGGGCUUAAAGGGCGCGUAGGCGGGCUGUCAAGUCUGGGGUGAAAUCCCACGGCUCAACCGUGGAACUGCCUUAGAUACUGACGGCCUCGAGGGAGAUAGGGGCGAGCGGAACUGUGAGUGGAGCGGUGAAAUGCGUUGAUAUUCACAGGAACUCCGGUGGCGAAGGCGGCUCACUGGACUGGUAUUGACGCUGAGGUGCGAAAGCGUGGGGAGCAAACAGG